AUGAAGUCCAUUGCUUCCUGAUACCGCUCCUCGGCCUGGAUAAAAUGAUUCUCAACGAAGUACGCAUGGUCAUCCGGUUUUGGGUUGUUGCUGCGGUCAUCUUGGUUUGCCCCAGCUUCUUGAAAUUGGUGGACGAGUACCUGGUUGAUUUUCCUCGAUCCCAAUCCGGCUCGAAGGACCAAUUUUAUGUAGGCG